ACCUCGGGGGUCUAAUGGUCAAGACGCUCGUCUGGUAAUCAAAAAGAGCGGGUUCAAUCCCAGCCGAGGCA
rnacentral:tRNA from 1 species